UGGGGAAUAUUGGACAAUGGGCGCAAGCCUGAUCCAGCCAUGCCGCGUGAGUGAUGAAGGCCCUCGGGUUGUAAAGCUCUUUUGUGUGGGAAGAUAAUGACGGUACCGCAAGAAUAAGCCCCGGCUAACUUCGUGCCAGCAGCCGCGGUAAUACGAAGGGGGCUAGCGUUGCUCGGAAUUACUGGGCGUAAAGGGUGCGUAGGCGGGUCUUUAAGUCAGAGGUGAAAUCCUGGAGCUCAACUCCAGAACUGCCUUUGAUACUGAGGAUCUUGAGUUCGGGAGAGGUGAGUGGAACUGUGAGUGUAGAGGUGAAAUUCGUAGAUAUUCGCAAGAACACCAGUGGCGAAGGCGGCUCACUGGCCCGAUACUGACGCUGAGGCACGAAAGCGUGGGGAGCAAACAGG
rnacentral:rRNA from 1 species